ACAGUAAACUCGGUUCCUAACCUGAAAAGGUUUCGUUGGAAGGCAUUAUAAUGAAACAUAAAAAUGGCCGCACCAUUCUCAGUCACAAGUAAAUGGCCAAUAGUGCAAACUAAAAAUUUUAUCAAGAAUAAUUAUCAUCAAAUUGAAUGAAGUAAGAACCAUAAUAGCUCAGAUAAUUAAUACUGAAAUAUAAAUGAGACUAUAAGAAAGAAUAAAUUUUCAAGAUAACAACUUUUUCUAAAAUCAGACGGAACAAAAAAUCAAACAAACAAAUCAAUUAAGAAAACAAAAAAUGGGAAAUGAACGGACCAAUGAUCAAUAAUCUCUGCACAUCCUGUGCAGCCUUUGGUUUUAAAAUAAAUAAUAAAAUUCCUAAUCAAGGCUUUAAUCGUUCAAAAAUCCCACAACCCAGAAAUCUCGAAACAAGGAAGAUGUUACCACCCAUUUGAACAUUGCCGACCACCAAUAAAGAAAAUAAUAUAAUUGCUGAAAUGAAUCAUAAAAAUCAAUUUAAUAAAAUAUAGUGAAAGUGGGUAAGUAAGGUACCU
rnacentral:misc_RNA from 1 species